rnacentral:rRNA from 1 species
GACGAACGCUGGCGGCGUGCCUAAUACAUGCAAGUUGAGCGCUGAAGGUUGGUACUUGUACCAACUGGAUGAGCAGCGAACGGGUGAGUAACGCGUGGGGAAUCUGCCUUUGAGCGGGGGACAACAUUUGGAAACGAAUGCUAAUACCGCAUAAAAACUUUAAACACAAGUUUUAAGUUUGAAAGAUGCAAUUGCAUCACUCAAAGAUGAUCCCGCGUUGUAUUAGCUAGUUGGUGAGGUAAAGGCUCACCAAGGCGAUGAUACAUAGCCGACCUGAGAGGGGUGUCGGCCACAUUGGGACUGAGACACGGCCCAAACUCCUACGGGAGGCAGCAGUAGGGAAUCUUCGGCAAUGGACGAAAGGCUGACCGAGCAACGCCGCGUGAGUGAAGAAGGUUUUCGGAUCGGAAAACUCUGUUGGUAGAGAAGAACGUUGGUGAGAGUGGAAAGCUCAUCAAGUGACGGUAACUACCCAGAAAGGGACGGCUAACUACGUG